rnacentral:rRNA from 1 species
GACGAACGCUGGCGGCGUGCUUAACACAUGCAAGUCGAACGGAAAGGCCCUGCUUGCAGGGUGCUCGAGUGGCGAUCGGGUGAGUAACACGUGGGUGAUCUGCCCCUUACUUUGGGAUAAGCCUGGGAAACUGGGUCUAAUACUGGAUAGGACCAUGCUGUAGGUGGUGUGGUGGAAAGAUUAGUUUCGGUAAGGGAUGAGCUCGCGGCCUAUCAGCUUGUUGGUGGGGUAAUGGCCUACCAAGGCGUCGACGGGUAGCCGGCCUGAGAGGGUGGACGGCCACAUUGGGACUGAGAUACGGCCCAGACUCCUACGGGAGGCAGCAGUGGGGAAUAUUGCACAAUGGGCGCAAGCCUGAUGCAGCGACGCCGCGUGGGGGAUGACGGCCUUCGGGUUGUAAACUCCUUUCAGCCAUGACGAAGCCCUUGUGGUGACGGUAGUGGUAGAAGAAGCACCGGCUAACUACGUG